CGCUGCUACUAUCAAUCGUUUCUGAGACAUUAUGAAACGCACAGGUUUUUUUUUUCUUCUUCACACACAAAAUAUGGAAGUUGUGGUGAGAUGUCCUCAAGGAUUCUAUUCAUUUUAGGAAACAAAAGUGGUGGGAAUACCUGGCUCCUCUCCCCUGGAAUGUGCUCCUGGUUGUACUAUCCUCAGGGACUUAGUUACAGAAGGAACAGCCUCUCCUCUGUUGUCUGCCCCCAACCUGAGAGACCCACAGGGGUCACUGGGUGAUCAGAGAAUCUCACCUUCCAGCAGAGGAAUGGAGCAGUGUGCGGACCACCGGGAUACUAUUUGGCUUUGCAUUUGAUAGAGCAUAAAGGAAGAAUGAAACCCACUUGGAGUCUUCUGAUUUCCAUCUAAUUGUUAACAAAAUAAUUUAAGCCUAGAGAAGUGGCCUUUUCCCAUCCUGGCAGUCCUAAACUAGUUCACAUGGCAGUUAUUUUAAAGUAAACAUACUUAAAGGAGUACAGGCAGCAUCAUCAUAAAAGAUGAAGAAAUUGCUACUCAGGUCAUAAGACUUGUCAAGGCUACUCAGCCAGUGAGUGGCAGGACCAGAAACAUACCCCAGUCUCUUGAUUUCCAGGCUCCUGUUUGUAUGUCCAUCUAAAGGGUUUCUUCCAGUGUUAAAAGUCUCUGUUUGAGGCGGUAUGAAAUAAUAAUAAAGAUAAUAGCAGCUAAC